rnacentral:rRNA from 1 species
AUGAACGCUAGCUACAGGCUUAACACAUGCAAGUCGAGGGGCAGCAUGGUCUUAGCUUGCUAAGGCCGAUGGCGACCGGCGCACGGGUGAGUAACACGUAUCCAACCUGCCGUCUACUCUUGGACAGCCUUCUGAAAGGAAGAUUAAUACAAGAUGGCAUCAUGAGUCCGCAUGUUCACAUGAUUAAAGGUAUUCCGGUAGACGAUGGGGAUGCGUUCCAUUAGAUAGUAGGCGGGGUAACGGCCCACCUAGUCUUCGAUGGAUAGGGGUUCUGAGAGGAAGGUCCCCCACAUUGGAACUGAGACACGGUCCAAACUCCUACGGGAGGCAGCAGUGAGGAAUAUUGGUCAAUGGGCGAGAGCCUGAACCAGCCAAGUAGCGUGAAGGAUGACUGCCCUAUGGGUUGUAAACUUCUUUUAUAAAGGAAUAAAGUCGGGUAUGGAUACCCGUUUGCAUGUACUUUAUGAAUAAGGAUCGGCUAACUCCGUGCCAGCAGCCGCGGUAAUACGGAGGAUCCGAGCGUUAUCCGGAUUUAUUGGGUUUAAAGGGAGCGUAGAUGGAUGUUUAAGUCAGUUGUGAAAGUUUGCGGCUCAACCGUAAAAUUGCAGUUGAUACUGGAUAUCUUGAGUGCAGUUGAGGCAGGCGGAAUUCGUGGUGUAGCGGUGAAAUGCUUAGAUAUCACGAAGAACUCCGAUUGCGAAGGCAGCCUGCUAAGCUGCAACUGACAUUGAGGCUCGAAAGUGUGGGUAUCAAACAGGAUUAGAUACCCUGGUAGUCCACACGGUAAACGAUGAAUACUCGCUGUUUGCGAUAUACUGCAAGCGGCCAAGCGAAAGCGUUAAGUAUUCCACCUGGGGAGUACGCCGGCAACGGUGAAACUCAAAGGAAUUGACGGGGGCCCGCACAAGCGGUGGAGCAUGUGGUUUAAUUCGAUGCAACGCGAAGAACCUUACCUGGUCUUGACAUCCACAGAACUUUCCAGAGAUGGAUUGGUGCCUUCGGGAACUGUGAGACAGGUGCUGCAUGGCUGUCGUCAGCUCGUGUUGUGAAAUGUUGGGUUAAGUCCCGCAACGAGCGCAACCCCUAAUAUUAGUUGCCAGCGAGUAAUGUCGGGAACUCUAAUAUGACUGCCGGUGAUAAAUCGGAGGAAGGUGGGGACGACGUCAAGUCAUCAUGCCCCUUAUGACCUGGGCUACACACGUGCUACAAUGGCGUAAACAAAGGGAAGCGAGACCGCGAGGUGGAGCAAAUCCCAAAAAUAACGUCUCAGUUCGGAUUGUAGUCUGCAACUCGACUACAUGAAGCUGGAAUCGCUAGUAAUCGCGGAUCAGCAUGCCGCGGUGAAUACGUUCCCGGGCCUUGUACACACCGCCCGUCACACCAUGGGAGUCGGUAACACCCGAAGCCCGUAGCCUAACAGCAAUGAGGGCGCGGUCGAAGGUGGGAUUGAUGACUGGGGUG